GUCGCCAUCGUCUAGUGGUUAGGACGCCAGGUUUUCAUCCUGGUAACAGGGGUUCAAUUCCCCUUGGCGAUGCCA
rnacentral:tRNA from 1 species